GACUGGCUUCAGGAAACAAAUGAAAUUAAUUGAUAUUCUUAAAAAGCAGAAGAUGCAUAUCGAAGCUUCAAAAAUGUUAACUUUUACAGAAGAAGAGUUUGUAAAAGCAAUGGAAUGGGAGACAUAAGUAGUUGCAAGAAAUCAUAUUUAGAGAACAUAAAAGCGAAAGAAAGAAAGAAAGAAAGGAAGGAAGGAAGAAAAAGAAAGGAAAAAAAGAAAGAAAAAAACCUCAUGUCAUUAUGUCAUUAUACCAUUAUGCUGUCAUACUAUUGUGCUAGUUUACCAUUUUCCAUUAAACCAUUAUGGAACCAUGGCGUUAUAGCAAAAAGAGCCUGAACUAUGGGGUGGGAUUCUGUCUAGGAUCUAUUUUUUUAUAGAAAAUAUAAAAGUGAGAUGAAUGUGAGAAUUCUUUCUCUGAAUACUUCCAACUAUCAUCAUCAUCAUCAUCAUCAUCAUCCUCAUCAUCAUCCUCAUCAUCAUCAGCAGCAACUAUGAUCUGUGAUAAUCAAUAACUGUUAAAUAUACGAUUGAUUUAAGUGCACAAAUCAAAUUUUGUUAGGAAGAAAUGGUGAAAGGUAAACUCAAAAAGAACUGGACUGAGACCCUAGAAGGGAGAAACUAAACACUACAAGAAUUGUGAUGGAGAAAACUGAAGAGAAUUUUCAAUGUCGGAACAAUGAAAUAUCUUUAAAAUAAAAC
rnacentral:lncRNA from 1 species